rnacentral:rRNA from 1 species
CCCUACGGGGCGCAGCAGUAGGGAAUUUUCGGCAAUGGGGGGAACCCUGACCGAGCAACGCCGCGUGAAGGAAGAAGGAAUUCGUUCUGUAAACUUCUGUUAUAAAGGAAGAAAGACGGAUGGAGGAAAUGACAUCCGAGUGACGGUACCUUAUGAGAAAGCCACGGCUAACUACGUGCCAGCAGCCGCGGUAAUACGUAGGUGGCGAGCGUUAUCCGGAAUCAUUGGGCGUAAAGAGGGAGCAGGCGGCCUG